rnacentral:lncRNA from 1 species
UUGGAAGGCAGAGAAGACCCAGAACAAAAGGCUCCUGAUACACCACAGUGCAUGUUUCAAGUAACCAAAAGUCUAUCAGAUAAACAACACAAAAAUAAAUGCAGCAUGUGACCUAAUUUGCAAAUAUCAAUAUAUAAAUCAUUUGUUCUCCAACUAAAUGAAUGAAUAGUUCAACUCUCUUUCUCUCUCUUUCUCUCCC